rnacentral:rRNA from 1 species
AAGGAUCAUUCAUAAUUUAUGCAAUGUUCUUCUUGAAUGUUUGUUCUCUGCUGGUUUACCAGCAAGUUUACCUAUUCUAGGUUUUUACAGUUAUUAAACAAUCUAAAUAUCUUAAAUUUUCAACGAUGGAUAUCUGGGCUCCUAUACCGAUGAAGAACGCAGCGAAAUGCGAUACGCAAUGCGAAUUGCAGAACCGCGAGUCAUCAGAUCUUUGAACGCAAGUGGCGAUAGCUUCGGCUAUCAUGUUUGUUUCAGUGUAUCCGGUUAAUUACAUCCAAGAACUUAAUGUGAUUGAGCAAUCUCUCACCAAGCAUGGAGCCGCCUUGUUGCGACGCCCAACCGAAGCAGUCACUAACAGGUGAUCAUCGUUUGGAGCGCCGCAGCAGUGAAUGGAGGCUUAGUAACCGUUUAUCCACUAUUGAUACCUGAAAUAAGCGAGGCUAUCCGCUGAACUUAA